GUUGCUUUGGCGGAGAUACGCGUGAGGCUUAGGACUUCAAGGGGGUUAAAUGCCAAGCAGUA
rnacentral:tRNA from 1 species